rnacentral:rRNA from 1 species
AAUCAACGCUGGCGGCGUGCCUCAGACAUGCAAGUCGAACGAUUAAAGCUCUCUUCGGAGAGUGCAUAGAGUGGCGCACGGGUGAGUAACACGUAAGUAAUCUACCUUCGAGUGGGGAAUAACGUCCGGAAACGGACGCUAAUACCGCAUAAUGCAGCGGCAUCGCAAGAUGACAGUUGUUAAAGGAGCAAUUCGCUUGAAGAGGAGCUUGCGGCAGAUUAGCUUGUUGGUAAGGUAACGGCUUACCAAGGCUACGAUCUGUAACCGGUCUAAGAGGACGGUCGGUCACACUGACACUGAAUAACGGGUCAGACUCCUACGGGAGGCAGCAGUCGGGAAUUUUGGCAAUGGGGAACCCUGACCAGCAACGCCGCGUGAAGGAUGAAGUAUUUCGGUAUGUAAACUUCGAAAGAAUAGGAAGAAUAAAUGACGGUACUAUUUAUAAGGUCCGGCUAACUACGUGCCAGCCGCCGCCGUAAU